CACAAGUAUACAUGAGAAAAAGCACAUAAUUAAUAAUAAGUCUGCUCCUUCAAAGAUGGAUGAAGGGCAAGAAGGAAACCAUUGAAAAGAACAGUUGACAAUGCAUGGUGUUUGACUGGGCAACACAACACUAGAAAGUGAGAGAAAGGAGUAGAGAUGUCUGGGAGGCUUCAAAUCAGGGAGAAGAAGAAAAACCACAGGCGGUUUGCAGAAGGAGAUCUGAGGAGGAAAGAGGGAGGGAAGACGGAGAGUUCAGUGUUAGAGCUCAAAGUCACACUGGGAUACUACCCACAUGGAAACAGCCAGCAGCAGCAGCAGCAGCAGCAGAAGAUUCAGGAACAGAACGAAAGAGGAUACAAUGACUAGAAACGGACACUUAAGAUCAUCCGCAUAUAGGAGAUCCACAGGAAAUCAAAGUGAUUUGAAAAAGGCGAAAUAAAAAUGUGGUAUCUCUAAAAAGAAAGAUUAUACAAGUACUUGCAAAGACCACCAAAUUACUUUAGAGAAUUAUGGAAUUCUAUCCUUCAAAGAAAUGGUAUAACCACUGCAUAGAGCACAACUUACUGAGCUGAAGAAUGAAGGCUGAAAUAAAUGGCUAAAGGAGUUGGCACCUACCUAGACUAGUCACCUAUCGGCUUUUGCCCAUCUGAGCUGCUGUGUUCAGGUAGUCUAGAAGUUCACAGAAGCAGAAACACAGAAACAAAGAAGAAGAAACACAAAGCUCACAUAAAUCCAUGUACUCCUCUAGAAUAGGCAAAAUCCACAGAGCUAUAGCUAGCAUGAAGGAGUUUGAGAUACUUCUCCAGUUACUGAAAACAUUUACAUGUGUCUUUCUCUGUAUAGCCUAAAAUGUACCUCAAGUCAUAAAUUAAGUGCAAGAGCACAAGACUGUUCUUCUUAGAAGUCUAAAAUGGUUGCAUACUGGCAAUGUCAUAGGGUUCAACCUAACAAUAGAAAUAAGAAGGCUGGGCUCCUAUUAACCAAGCAGUAUGAAAAUGCAGAGUAGUCAGGUAUAUAAGCGUAACAGGAGAUGCUCUUUAAACAACCUAAUACAACACAGACUAAGUAUUUUAGUGCUGGGAAUAAUACAGUAAUUCAAUACAAUGAGGUGACUAUCUUCCUCCUCCUCUGCCUCCUCUUCUUCCUUUGUAUUUGUAUAGCACACCUUAUCUCACUGGAACUUCAUAACAAUUCUGGAUGGUGAGCAAUGCAGGAAUUACCAAAAUGUGGUACAUGUGUACCAUGGAGUAGUACUCAGUCAUAAAAAAUGAUGAAUUAAUGCCUUUUGC